rnacentral:snoRNA from 1 species
GAGGAGUUGAUGAGAACUCUAAUCCAUUCUCUGAGCGAGAAGGAUGGCGGACGCGGGACCGCUUAAGGGUGUUAAGGUGGACGGUAGAGUUUUUCUGCAGCCACUGCCCUCCGCUGAACCC